CUCACGUUUCCGAUCCCCAGUACAGGAUGAGUUGGGGAUGCAGCCAUGUCUGAAUCCAGAGUCACAUUCGCCUGUCUGUGUGCUCUAAAUGAUUCUGCCC